GUCGGAGUGGCAGAGCCCGGUAAGUGCAAAAGGCCUAAGCCCUUUAUAUGAAGGUCCAAAUCCUUCCUCCGACU
rnacentral:tRNA from 1 species